rnacentral:rRNA from 1 species
UACGGAGGGUGCGAGCGUUGUCCGGAAUCACUGGGCGUAAAGAGCUCGUAGGCGGUUCGUCGCGUCGGCUGUGAAAUCCCGAGGCUCAACCUCGGGUCUGCAGUCGAUACGGGCGGACUGGAGUUCGGCAGGGGAGACUGGAAUUCCUGGUGUAGCGGUGAAAUGCGCAGAUAUCAGGAGGAACACCGGUGGCGAAGGCGGGUCUCUGGGCCGAUACUGACGCUGAGGAGCGAAAGCGUGGGGAGCGAACAGG